GAAAGAUUCGUCGGAAGAGGAUGGGCAUGCGGCGCAUUAGCUAGACGGCGGGGUAACGGCCCACCGUGGCGACGAUGCGUAGGGGUUCUGAGAGGAAGGUCCCCCACACUGGUACUGAGACACGGACCAGACUCCUACGGGAGGCAGCAGUGAGGAAUAUUGGUCAAUGGGAGAGAUCCUGAACCAGCCAAGCCGCGUGAGGGAAGACGGCCUUAUGGGUUGUAAACCUCUUUUGUCGGAGAACAAAACCCGGGACGUGUCCCGGACUGCGUGUAUCCGAAGAAAAAGCAUCGGCUAACUCCGUGCCAGCAGCCGCGGUAAUACGGAGGAUGCGAGCGUUAUCCGGAUUUAUUGGGUUUAAAGGGUGCGUAGGCGGUCCGUUAAGUCAGCGGUAAAAUUGCGGGGCUCAACCCCGUCGAGCCGUUGAAACUGGCAGACUUGAGUUGGCGAGAAGUACGCGGAAUGCGCGGUGUAGCGGUGAAAUGCAUAGAUAUCGCGCAGAACUCCGAUUGCGAAGGCAGCGUACCGGCGCCAGACUGACGCUGAGGCACGAAAGCGUGGGGAUCGAACAGGAUUAGAUACCCUGGUAGUCCACGCAGUAAACGAUGAAUGCUGGUUGUCCGGGUCGAAUGAGAUCUGG
rnacentral:rRNA from 1 species